rnacentral:rRNA from 1 species
AUUGAACGCUGGCGGCAUGCCUUACACAUGCAAGUCGAACGGCAGCACGGGAGCUUGCUCCUGGUGGCGAGUGGCGAACGGGUGAGUAAUACAUCGGAACGUACCCUGAAGUGGGGGAUAACGUAGCGAAAGUUACGCUAAUACCGCAUAUUCUGUGAGCAGGAAAGAGGGGGAUCGCAAGACCUCUUGGGCUUUAGGAGCGGCCGAUGUCGGAUUAGCUAGUUGGUGAGGUAAAGGCUCACCAAGGCGACGAUCCGUAGCGGGUCUGAGAGGAUGAUCCGCCACACUGGGACUGAGACACGGCCCAGACUCCUACGGGAGGCAGCAGUGGGGAAUUUUGGACAAUGGGCGCAAGCCUGAUCCAGCCAUGCCGCGUGAGUGAAGAAGGCCUUCGGGUUG